rnacentral:rRNA from 1 species
AUUGAACGCUGGCGGCAGGCUUAACACAUGCAAGUCGAGCGGAGCGAGGGUGCUUGCACCUUAGCUUAGCGGCGGACGGGUGAGUAAUGCUUAGGAAUCUGCCUAUUAGUGGGGGACAACAUUCCGAAAGGGAUGCUAAUACCGCAUACGCCCUACGGGGGAAAGCAGGGGAUCUUCGGACCUUGCGCUAAUAGAUGAGCCUAAGUCGGAUUAGCUAGUUGGUGGGGUAAAGGCCUACCAAGGCGACGAUCUGUAGCGGGUCUGAGAGGAUGAUCCGCCACACUGGGACUGAGACACGGCCCAGACUCCUACGGGAGGCAGCAGUGGGGAAUAUUGGACAAUGGGGGGAACCCUGAUCCAGCCAUGCCGCGUGUGUGAAGAAGGCCUUUUGGUUGUAAAGCACUUUAA